AUGUGGGCGGGGUUUUUGUCCAAUUUUAAAAAUUCGCAGCCGUUUGGUAUGUUUUACCGAGGCCAUAAACUGUGCCAAAUUUGGGAGAAAUUUGUGGAGCGGUGUUAUUAUUUUUCAU